CAUGAUCAAAAUUUCAUGUUAAAAUCUCUGGUUCUCAUCCAAUCAGCAAAGUUAAACAAUAUUGAGCCUAGUUAGUCUUUAAGUGGGUGUUUGGGAAACUUAGGUGUCGGCAUGG
rnacentral:rRNA from 1 species